GACGAACGCUGGCGGCGUGCUUAACACAUGCAAGUCGAACGAUGAAGCCCAGCUUGCUGGGUGGAUUAGUGGCGAACGGGUGAGGAACACGUGAAGAAUCUGCCUUCAACUCUGGGAUAACUCCGGGAAACCGGGGCUAAUACCGGAUAUGAGAUCUGCAGGCAUCUGCGGAUCUGGAAAGUUUUUCGGUUGAAGAUGACUUCGCGGCCUAUCAGCUUGUUGGUGAGGUAAAGGCUCACCAAGGCGACGACGGGUAGCCGGCCUGAGAGGGCGACCGGCCACACUGGGACUGAGACACGGCCCAGACUCCUACGGGAGGCAGCAGUGGGGAAUAUUGGGGCAAUGGAGGGAACUCUGACCCAGCGACGCCGCGUGCGGGAUGAAGGCCUCGGUUGUAACGCUUCUAGCAGGGAAUAAGCGCAAGUGAAGGUACCUGCAGAAGAAGCACCGGCUAACUAUGUG
rnacentral:rRNA from 1 species